rnacentral:rRNA from 1 species
AGUGAACGCUGGCGGUAGGCCUAACACAUGCAAGUCGAACGGCAGCACAGUAAGGGCUUGCUCUUACGGGUGGCGAGUGGCGGACGGGUGAGGAAUACAUCGGAAUCUACUUUUUCGUGGGGGAUAACGUAGGGAAACUUACGCUAAUACCGCAUACGACCUACGGGUUAAAGCAGGGGAUCUUCGGACCUUGCGCGAUUGAAUGAGCCGAUGUCGGAUUAGCUAGUUGGCGGGGUAAAGGCCCACCAAGGCGACGAUCCGUAGCUGGUCUGAGAGGAUGAUCAGCCACACUGGAACUGAGACACGGUCCAGACUCCUACGGGAGGCAGCAGUGGGGAAUAUUGGACAAUGGGCGCAAGCCUGAUCCAGCCAUACCGCGUGGGUGAAGAAGGCCUUCGGGUUGUAAAGCCCUUUUGUUGGGAAAGAAAAGCAGCAGGUUAAUACCCCGCUGUUCUGACGGUACCCAAAGAAUAAGCACCGGCUAACUUCGUG